UGAUAAUCUUUCUUAAGUGGUAUUAUGUGGGUAAAUAUUACUGAUAUUAGUGUUUUGAAAAUUAUAUAACAUUCCUAAAAUUCUGAUCUGUCCUGGCUAUCAGCCAUAAUUCUAAAUAUUAUUUUAGGGUGUUGUAUAUCAGAAAUAAUAAGUUUCUCUGUCAAUUGUCAUUUUCAAGUCUUUUGUUGUUUACAGUCAGUUGUUUUACUCUGAUGCUUUUUGCUUUUGCAAAUACUUCUCAUCUUCAGAGACAUUCAUGGAAAAGACUCUGACACUUACUCUGGAUUACAGUUUUCUGAUAAACUUUCAGAUCACAGAACUGAACUGGAUUUAAGGAAAUCUUUUCUCUUACGCUGACUAUGACUUACAGCAAUUUAGUGAUAGUAUACCUUUAUGAGCAAAACUGAAACAUUUAUCUUUUUCUCCCUACCUGAUCCCUCCAGAAUUUGGAAACCUAGUAAGUGAGUGAGUAUGGUUGUUUCACGGCAAUAUUGUUAUUUGCAUAAGUUCAAUAAGAAUCUGUUCUCCUUAUAACAGGACACAUUUGUUAUCUUACCAAAGCUUUGAC
rnacentral:lncRNA from 1 species